UACGGAGGGUGCAAGCGUUGCUCGGAAUUAUUGGGCGUAAAGGGCAGGUAGGUGGUCUCAUUUGUCUGGGGUGAAAGCCUUGGGCUUAACCGGGGAAUUGCGUUCUGAACUGGACGGCUGGAGUGGGAUAGAGGUGUGUGGAACUUCCGGUGGAGCGGUGAAAUGUGUUGAUAUCGGAAGGAACGCCGGUGGCGAAAGCGACACACUGGGUCUCAACUGACGCUGAGGCACGAAAGCCAGGGGAGCGAACGGG
rnacentral:rRNA from 1 species